GCUUGUCUCAAAGAUUAAGCCAUGCAUGUCUAAGUAUAAGCGCCUUAUACUGUGAAACUGCGAAUGGCUCAUUAUAUCAGUAAUAGUUUAUUUGAUGGUCCCUUACUACCUGGAUACCCGUAGUAAUUCUAGAGCUAAUACAUGCACUACAUUCCCAACUGCUUUUGCGGGCGGGCUGCCUUUAUUAGAUCAAAACCAAACGGCUUCGGCCGUCUCAUUGGUGACUCUGAAUAACUUUGGGCUGAUCGUAUGGCCUUGUGCCGACGACGUUUCCUUCGAAGGUGUGCCCUAUCAACUGUCGACUGUGAUAUAGACGCUCACAGUGGUUUUGACGGGUAACGGGGAAUCAGGGUUCGAUUCCGGAGAGGGAGCCUUAAAAACGGCUACCACAUCCAAGGAAGGCAGCAGG
rnacentral:rRNA from 1 species